CCUACGGGAGGCAGCAGUGAGGAAUAUUGGUCAAUGGCCGGAAGCCUGAACCAGCCAAGCCGCGUGAAGGACGAAGGUUCCAUGCAUUGUAAACUUCUUUUGUCAAGGGACAAAAUCCGGCUCGCGAGCCUCACCGCGUGUACUUUAAGAAUAAGCAUCGGCUAACUCCGUGCCAGCAGCCGCGGUAAUACGGAGGAUUCGAGCGUUAUCCGGAUUUAUUGGGUUUAAAGGGUGCGUAGGCGGGCUGUUAAGUCAGCGGUUAAAGGCCGGGGCUCAACCCCAGCCGAGCCGUUGAAACUGGCGGUCUGGAGAUGGCGAGAGGUAGGCGGAAUGCGCAGUGUAGCGGUGAAAUGCUUAGAUAUUGCGCAGAACCCCGAUUGCGAAGGCAGCAUACCGGGGGCGAUCUGACGCUGAGGCACGAAAGCGUGGGUAUCGAACAGGAUUAGAUACCCUUGUAGUC
rnacentral:rRNA from 1 species